rnacentral:rRNA from 1 species
CACGUAGGCGGAUCAGAAAGUCAGAGGUGAAAUCCCAGGGCUCAACCUUGGAACUGCCUUUGAAACUCCUGGUCUUGAGGUCGAGAGAGGUGAGUGGAGUUCCGAGUGUAGAGGUGAAAUUCGUAGAUAUUCGGAGGAACACCAGUGGCGAAGGCGGCUCACUGGCUCGAUACUGACGCUGAGGUGCGAAAGCGUGGGGAGCAAACA